UGGUUUUCGUAAUUGGUUUGGUAAUUGACUUGAUUGGGAGCGGGGAAGAAGAAUGUCUGUAGCAUGCAAUGAAUGUAUAGCCUUUUACUUUUUUUUUCAGCAGAGUAUGGUAAAUUAAUUAUGAUUAUGAUAAUUUGUCAAGUUUUGAAGUUGCAAUCACAAAAGAAAUUCUCUAUCAUUCACAAGGUUUGUCCAAUUAAGUCAUUCCAACAUUCAAAUUGGCCCUUAAAUGAGCCCACAUAUGUCUUAGGCUAUCUAUUGAAGUAUGCAUAUCCUACCUUUCACCCAUCCACCAUCCUUAUUCAGCGUACAGUGAAUAAACAUGAAUAGUCAACUUUGUUUGAUGUACGAUACUUUUCUUUAUACGUAUUGAAGUACUGAUACUUAUAUAAUAUUCAGAAAUAUAUUUAUACAUGUGUAAAUCAAACAUCACAUAUAUAGGAAAAUAACAUGAUGGUAUUAAAUAUAAUAAUAAAGGACAAGGUUUAAUUCUAGUUAUAUCCAUAUUCUAGUUGCUUCCGUGUGCUUCUUAUUGUGGAUACAUUGCAUGAGAUUAGAUGGUCAGCUUUGUUCUUAAUUAACUUAUUUACAUUACGAGUUGUGGAUAUCCCAGUAAUGUUUCUUUUCUUUCUGAAAUAUAAUAAGGUUUCUGCAGUCAAUGCUACAGGAAUGAAGUAACCAAUCUACCGCGCUUGCGAGUUGCAGUUCCUCUUCUCAGGUGUGAAUUCUCGAAUCUGUGGAUCAGAAAUCUGUGUAUGAAGAUUACAUAGUAAGAUCACAAUGGUAUAUUUGUCUAUAAUCAAAGUUUCAUCUUGCUGUCGCUGUUAUGAGGAAGAAAACUAAGAGAACAUGUGAGAAACACUAAGGUAGGGUAGUAUUUCCAUUUGCGAAAGCAAGUCGCUUUCGCGAGGACUUGUUAUGCAGAUCCAACAAAGGUUACAAAGCCAUUGCUUUCUCUUUAUGUAGUAUGUUAUGCGAAACUUCCGCGAUUCAUCUCGACAUGCUGACUCGUUCCGUGCCAUGUGCACAAUCCUUGAUGUAUGCUACAUGGAUGUUCAGUAUCUCUUUCUCUCUCAUUUCCUAAAGGAUGUAGAUAAUUGUUGUUUAUUUGUUGGAAUUAUUAUAAUAUUAUGAUAAACCUUCUUUUUGAA